rnacentral:tRNA from 1 species
UUUGUUUUAGUAUAAAAAAUAUAUAAGCUUUUCGUGCUUAUGCUAGCUAUAUUAGCUAAACAAAU